GAUGAAGAACGUAGCGAAAUGCGAUACGUAAUGUGAAUUGCAGAAUUCAGUGAAUCAUCGAGUCUUUGAACGCACAUUGCGCCCGCCAGUAUUCUGGCGGGCAUGCCUGUCCGAGCGUCAUUUCAACCCUCGAACCCCUCCGGGGGGUCGGCGUUGGGGACCUCGGGAGCCCCUAAGACGGGAUCCCGGCCCCGAAAUACAGUGGCGGUCUCGCCGCAGCCUCUCCUGCGCAGUAGUUUGCACAACUCGCACCGGGAGCGCGGCGCGUCCACGUCCGUAAAACACCCAACUUCUGAAAUGUUGACCUCGGAUCAGGUAGGAAUACCCGCUGAACUUAAGCAUAUCAAUAAGCGGAGGA
rnacentral:misc_RNA from 1 species